AUGGCUGGUCUUAGGUACUUUCAAGGGCUGAAUUCUCAAAAUUUAUACUUGCUCAAUAGUGUAGUGAUUGCUCUGCUGCCCAAACAUCAAGGUGCUGUCAGACCUCAGGAAUUUAGGCCCAUUAGCCUUAUUCACUUCUUUGCUAAAUUGAUUGCCAAAAUCCUUGCUGCAAGACUUCAUCCUUGGUAGAACAAAUUGGCUUCCCCUUGUCAAAAUGCCUUUAUUAAAGGAAGAAGCAUACAUGAUAACUUUGUAUACGUCGAGGCAAUGGCAAAGACCUUGAGGCAGAAGAAAAUACCAUCGGUUAUGCUCAAGUUGGAUAUUUCCAAGGCCUUUGAUUCUGUCUCUUGGGAGUUUCUGUUAAAGCUUUGCAAGUUCUAG
rnacentral:rRNA from 1 species